rnacentral:rRNA from 1 species
AAUUUUGUACAAUGGGGGAAACCCUGAUCCAGCCAUCCCGCGAGUGCUAUGUAGUGCUUCGGUUUGUAAGCACUUUUGUCUGGGAAGAAAAGGUUCUGUCUAUUACCCGGAACUGAUGACGGUACCUGAAGCAUAAGCACCCGCUAACUACGUGCCAGCAUCCGCGGCAAUACGUAGGGUGCAAGCUUUAAUCGGAAUUACUGGGCGUAAAGAGUGCGCAGGCGGUUCGGAAAGAAGGAUGUGAAAUCCCAGGGCUCAACCUUGGAACUGCAUUCUUAACUACCGAACUAGAGUAUGUCAGAGGGGGGUAGAAUUCCGCGUGUAGCAGUGAAAGGCGUAGAUAUGCGGAGGAAUACAGAUGGCGAAGGCAGCCCCCUGGGAUAAUACUGACGCUCAUGCACGAAAGCGUGGGUAGCAAACAGG